rnacentral:rRNA from 1 species
ACGGGGGGCUACGGGAGGCAGCAGUAGGGAAUCUUCCGCAAUGGACGCAAGUCUGACGGAGCAACGCCGCGUGAGCGAAGAAGGUCUUCGGAUCGUAAAGCUCUGUUAUUAGGGAAGAACAAGUACCGUUUGAAUAAGGCGGUACCUUGACGGUACCUAACCAGAAAGCCACGGCUAACUACGUGCCAGCAGCCGCGGUAAUA